CAGUCUCCAGCACUUGAAUGAAAGCUCCAGUUUACUGCUCAGCUGCUGUAUUGGGUGGAGUCCUGUGCGCUUAACGCUCCACUGGAACAGGAGACCUGCCACAUUACGCACGGAGAGUUCGCCAAGCACGCCUGUUCCGCGAGGAGACGGGAGGGAAGAGAACUUACAGAACAAAGCUAACGAUUUCAUGUUUUUGUUUACGAAAAGGAAGAGUUUGUUAAUCCAUCCCUUUUAUACAGAGUGGAGUUUUGGGACAUUUUUUAUAUUUUUCUCUGUAGCCUAUGAUUAUUUUAAGAUUAUUUGAAAAGACUGUGUUUGAGGAGAUUAAAAGAUUAUUCAGAGUGAGAGCAGACGCGUUCCAGGACUUUAUCUCCAAAGACUGCUCGGAAACCACUGACCCCUCAUGAGAUACCCACAAGUCACCUGGCAUUUGACCCGAUAACCAUGGACGUCCGAGUGCAGGCCAAUCCUAACCUCCAUUUCGGGGUCAACGGGGGUCAUGAUGGCGCUAAUAGAAACUCCCGCAGUAGACCAUUUUGAUGCCUAGCAACGAGAUGGCAUUCUGCUGCAGUGGCAACCUGUUACCCUAGUAAUCACAGGCACAGGGUCGUAACCUGAAACUGCAAACAAAAAUAGUUUGUUUGUCACUGAUUGACAGUGAUGGUAAUUGUCAAUGAAAGGUGUAUGGGUGC
ensembl:lncRNA